GACGAACGCUGGCGGCGUGCCUAAUACAUGCAAGUAGAACGCACAGUUUAUACCGUAGCUUGCUACACCAUAGACUGUGAGUUGCGAACGGGUGAGUAACGCGUAGGUAACCUGCCUGGUAGCGGGGGAUAACUAUUGGAAACGAUAGCUAAUACCGCAUAAUAUUAAUUAUUGCAUGAUAAUUAAUUGAAAGGUGCAAUUGCACCACUACCAGCUGGACCUGCGUUGUAUUAGCUAGUAGGUGAGGUAACGGCUCACCUAGGCGACGAUACAUAGCCGAGCUGAGAGGGAGAACGGCCACACUGGGAAUGAGACACGGCCCAGACUCCUUCGGGAGGGAGCAGUAGGGAAUCUUCGGCAAUGGACGAAAGUCUGACCGAGCAACGCCGCGGGAGUGAAGAAGGGUUUCGGAUCGGAAAGCUCUGUUGUAAGAGAAGAACGGGUGUGAGAGUGGAAAGUUCACACUGUGACGGUAUCUGACCAGAAAGGAACGGCUAACUACGUG
rnacentral:rRNA from 1 species